AUUUCAUGCUUGCCCAUGCUUUCUCUUCAAAUAUAAAUGCUUUUAAGAAGCAGCUUCUCUUUUAUUGUGAGGAUUUUUUUCCCCAUGCUGCAUUGAUUUUUUUUUUGCCCCACAUUUUUUUUUUUAAUGGCUAUUUCUCUUCCUUAACCUUGGAAUCCUCAGAAACGUUAGAAGAAAAGAGGAUAGCCUUUCCUUUUUUUUUCCUUGUGAAAAACGGUGUAAGAGCAUGAGUCCAUGGGUGGCAGUAAUCCAGUGAAUCCUUUUUGAUUCACAUUGUACAGUGUGCUACUGUGAUAUCUCUCUUGCUGUAAGAAUGUCUUCAUCACCACAAGUUACUUUUCUGGGUUCACACAUCCGGCUAAGCCUCAACUACCUGGCAGAUCUCAUGAUGAUACCUGAUCCGUUUUCAUUCCACUUGGCCAAGGACUGCUGACUUAUUGACUUAUUAACCACCAGAUGGCAGGCAAAGAAUUCAUGUCUCUUAAUUGCAAAGUAAGUGAUUCCUGGGAUUUGUGCCACCAGAUUGGGGCAUUGCAUACGUAUUUUUAAAUGCAGAAUUCAAGAAAGUCCAGGACUCAGACUCUGAUGAAGAUGCUCCAUCUGAACCCUGAAAUGUAAGCCUUGGGAGACUCAAAGCCAAGAGUCACUCAAGGCUGAUCAAAUGAUGGAGCAGCUGGAGCAGUCAGAUGAUGACAAACUACCUCUACUUGGAACUAGAUGGAGAACAGAACAAAGAUAUUGAGGCACCUUGCCAAGCAAGGCAGUAAUCCUCCUGAUUAAAUAUGCUAAAUGGGCUACAGCUUGAUUGAAGAAACAGCCAUGACCCAUCUGAUCUUCUGCUCUGGUGUAUAAUUCCUGGGAAUCAUAUACUGUAACUCUGACCUACAACUGUCUGACAAACUUGAUUUGGAUCUCUGAACUUGGACUGGAUUUUGACCAUUCUUCUGUGUUGAAAACAGAACCAUACAGUUUAGCUGAGAAACUUUGUUGAUUUACAUUUCUUCCUUGUCUACUGAUAACUGCUGGACCUUGAGUAAAUUGCUUUCUUCACCUGACAACUGUGAGUGUGUGAGGUUGACUGGAGGGCAGUGUCAGUGCAUGUUAGAGAUUGGCUCAGCUGUGAGGUGUUUUUCAUAUAGCCACAUGAUUUUUCCAAAAUGAUUACCUGUGGACACUAGAUGGCAUCAAAGAGAUUGUUAAUCACUCCUGGCUACCAUCUAGUGGUCUUCCAAAUUUGGGCAGCUAAAAUUCAGUCACUGAAUAAGUAUUAUUGUAUACAAUUUUAUUAAGAAUCUUUAUUAUAAUGGUAAAAUUUUAAUACAAAUUAAACUUUAAAAAAGUGAA